rnacentral:rRNA from 1 species
UACAGAGGGUGCGAGCGUUGUCCGGAAUCACUGGGCGUAAAGGGUGCGUAGGCGGCCCGGUAAGUCAGUGGUGAAAUCUCCUUGCUUAACAAGGAAACUGCCAUUGAUACUGCUGGGCUUGAGUACAGAUGCUGUGGGCGGAAUAUGACAUGUAGUGGUGAAAUACAUAGAGAUGUCAUAGAACACCGAUUGCGAAGGCAGCUCACAAAACUGUAACUGACGCUGAGGCACGAAAGUGCGGGGAUCAAACAGG